rnacentral:rRNA from 1 species
GACGAACGCUGGCGGCAUGCCUAAUACAUGCAAGUCGAGCGAAUGACGAAGAAGCUUGCUUCUUCUGAUUUAGCGGCGGACGGGUGAGUAACACGUGGGCAACCUGCCCUGUAGAUUGGGAUAACUCCGGGAAACCGGGGCUAAUACCAAAUAAUCCAUUUCCUCACAUGUGGAAAUGUUAAAAGACGGUUUCGGCUGUCACUACAGGAUGGGCCCGCGGCGCAUUAGCUAGUUGGUAGGGUAACGGCCUACCAAGGCGACGAUGCGUAGCCGACCUGAGAGGGUGAUCGGCCACACUGGGACUGAGACACGGCCCAGACUCCUACGGGAGGCAGCAGUAGGGAAUCUUCCACAAUGGACGAAAGUCUGAUGGAGCAAUGCCGCGUGAGUGAAGAAGGUUUUCGGAUCGUAAAACUCUGUUGUAAGGGAAGAACAAGUACGAGAGUAACUGCUCGUAC